rnacentral:rRNA from 1 species
UACGAAGGGGGCGAGCGUUGUUCGGAAUCACUGGGCGUAAAGCGUGCGUAGGCUGUCUUGAUAGUUGGAAGUGAAAGCCCAGGGCUCAACCCUGGAAUUGCUUUCAAUACUUCAAGACUCGAAUUCGGGAGAGGAUAGCGGAAUUCCAAGUGUAGUAGUGAAAUACGUAGAUAUUUGGAGGAACACCAGUGGCGUAAGCGGCUAUCUGGACCGACAUUGACGCUGAGGCACGAAAGCGUGGGGAUCAAACAGG